AAAGCACAAGAUUAGGCACUUGUGACCUUUAUUAGGGCUGAUCCAUGGAUACCAGGGGAGCUCCAUGGUGGCACAACAAAGACUAGUAGUGGGGCUAGAUUACAGAUCUGCAUGGAGGUGGGUAAGUGAAAAUGACAUGAAAGAAUUAUCCUUUACUGAUGUGAUCGUUUCCUGGGCUCGACUGCCUCAGAAAGGUUAUCGUGCACAAAUGGCCUGGAUACGUUCCAGGAAACUGCAGCAGGGCAACAGACAGGAGCCGGGUGCUUGUGGGAGUGAGGCUGUGCAGCGAGAGCGAGAGCUUUGGCAGUUCCUCCCCUCUGAGGUAGGCUUAUCUGUACAGGCAGCAUGUGUAUUCAUUUAAUCUCAGUUCAACAUCAGGUGUCAAGUGCGAUUAUACACUAAUACACACGCAUUCAGAAGAUUGAGUCUAUGUUAACGUCGUGGGGAGACGAGUGCUUUAUCAAUGCCAAGGUUAAAAAAAAAAAGCAGCUAUACUGUACAUGCAGCUGUACUUUACUGAAUGACUUCCUGAAGUGAUAUCUGCAUUUUUUCAUGUUUUACUGUUUUCAGGAUUUUCCUUCCUAAUUUUCUCCCCUGCAGCCGCAUCGCUGACCUUCCUAUUGGCUGUGCCAGGUUGAAGUGACAGCUGGCGUGAUGUAACAGCCCCCUCCAACGAGGCAAGUUGUAAAGAGCAAUAUCUAGUUCCAUGGAUUGAGAUAAGCUUAGGUAGAUUAAUGCUGUAGGACACUGACAUGUUUGUUGUAUAAAACCUCUGUUUAUAAAACAAUGUGUUAUUGCCAUAUAUGAAAAAGUCUCAUAUGGCAGAUGGCCUGAGCUCCAAGAGUUCCUCCGUGUCAGCGGCACGGCCAGUCUACGGUUUGGACUUCUGUGGCUUAAUGGGAUUUCAGACAUCCUCAUUCAAAUGAAUUAUAUAUAGAAAAACUAGGAUUAUUUUACAGGCAGUUUAAUCUCUCUUUUUUUUCCUCCUCCAAAACUCAGCCUGCCCCACGGUUUUAGCAUUCGUGGAAAAGUGGAGCGACUGAGUGCUACAAUCAAUGAACGCUAGAGUGCAGGCGGCCUAUCAGCUCAGAGAGCCAGAGAUGCCCUGUGGACCGUUUUACUGACAUGAAGCGUGCUUAGUCGACUUGACUCACUUCAGCCCUGCUGCUGUGCCCGCCUUUCCAGAAGUGUUCCCAUCCUGCUCAGCGACGGACGCAGGGCUUUGCCACAGCUGCUUGGCCACCACGCCGCACAGACUCGCUGCCCUUUCCAUCGGAGGACGGCUUCUUCUUCUCUCCGAGCUCCAGGUCCCAGUUGGGAAGAGGCUCGGGCACCGGUGCCCCCCCCCCACGUCCUGGAUCAUCUCGCUGCUUUGCCGUAGACCACAUAGCUCCAGAGCAUCGUUGUCAUCAGGUAGACAGGUUGACCGGUUGAUUUUGACCUGAUUUCGACUACAGAUCCCAUCAUGCCUCACUCCUUCCAGCAAAAAAAAGGUGAGAGUUCUUUCUUUUGUUGUCAACACCUCUGCAGGUUAAGGGCAGUACCUCAAUGCUCACUGAAUGAAUGACUGUAUAAAGAGGAUGAAGCUAAAUUGCUAAAAAUGGGAAAUUAAAUGAAUUUCAAAAUAUAAUUUUCACUACUUGCACUUGCAAUGUAACCCACAUAUCAGCAUCAGCAGCUCUGUCCAGCUAACGCUGACUUGGAUUUGAAAUCAUGCGGCAGCUGUGGAUUCUAUAGGACAAAUAAAACUAAAUGUGGGCAGGAACGCUGGCA
rnacentral:lncRNA from 1 species